GUGGCUUUAUUGAGAUUUUAAUGAAGAUUUGCUAAUGCUAAUUAAUAAAUUAGUUAGUAAUUGGUAUGUUUUGAUGGAAUGGAGCCUAGAAAAAAUGUUCCCCUCGCUAUCCAGUGUUACUUUCAAUGUUUACAUUUGGACGUUGGGAAACUACAUUU